rnacentral:lncRNA from 1 species
UUGUUAUACCCCUUCCAAAUUUAUUUCUCCAUGUUUUAUGCCUCAUAUUGCAAGUUGGGGGGUGAAAUGACACUGUAAAAAAAUUGGGGUCAUAAAUAUUAAUGUAAAGUAGUGAUUAGGUCCAGCUGAAAAAGGUCAAAAAUUAGCACUUCGGAAGCUGUCAAAAGAUUUCAAGACCCCCUCAACAUACAAUUGUCCAUAUUUUGAGUUAGAGCUGAUGAAGUUUUCUAUAAUUUUGAUAUAAUUUGUCCCAAUAGUAGUACAAC